GACAGAGGUGCCAAGCGUUAGGCGGAAUCACUGGGCUUAAAGCGUGUGUAGGUGGAUUUGUAAGUACCUUGUGAAAUCCCAUGGCUCAACCAUGGAACUGCUCGGUAUACUGCGAAUCUUGAGCCACUUAGGGGCUACCGGAACAAAUGGUGGAGCGGUGAAAUGCGUAGAUAUCAUUUGGAACGCCAAUGGUGAAAACAGGUAGCUGGGAGUGUGCUGACACUGAGACACGACAGCCAGGGGAGCGAACGGG
rnacentral:rRNA from 1 species